CAUGGGCUUCUCCAGGCAAGAAUACAGGAGUGGGUUGCCAUGCCCUCCUCCAGGGGAUCUUCCUGACACAGGGGUCUAACCCAUGUCUUCUGAGUCUCCUGCAUUGCAAGCGGAUUCUUUUUGGCAGAAAUAAAUCUCUCCUGCCCUCUGGACAUUGUUUUAGAACUAGGGUUUCUGGGCGGGAACAGGGAAAGGGUGAAUGGUAUGUUCCCUGUCACUUAUUUAUCUGUUGAACUUGUGUGUCUUCCCGCCAGGCAGCACUGAUGUGACUGAUGCCUCGGGGUGACUUCCUACAUGGGGUCAUCACUGCCGCACUGGUACCUUGAUCACCAAGAACGCUGGCGUUGAACAUCCUUCGGGUUUUGCAGAGAAAGUAUUUAGGGUUAAUGUGCCCCCAGUCAAGACUCUCUCACUGCUAGCUAAGUGAGCCCUUCUGUAAAUUGUACAAUUCAGUUUUCUCAUGAUUUCAGCUGACAGUUAGGUGGGUUUGCAUGGUCAAAACCCCUUUUUUUACUGAGACAUUCUAUGGAAGUGUUUGCUUCUGAGAAAAGCUGAAAGUUUUAGAAAAUUGCAGGACCGCUAAUGGUUAGAGAAAUGACCUCUCAGUCUUGUGUUUAAAUUAUUGUGGGGAGAUGAGUGAUCAUUUUUACAAGUAACGUUUUAUUUCAUUUGUGCAAUGAAGCUCAUAUAAUAAUCAAUAUAAAUAGGCGAUGUAAUGCUAGGGCCAAGUACACAUAGGGAUAUGCCGCUAAUACUAAUCAAAACCCCGAGAAUUUUCCUCUUCAGAAAACAUUACAAAUAUUUGUUUAUUAAUCCCCUGUGUCAGAGCUGAGAUUAGAACUCAAGCUUUCACCUGCCAACAGACUCAUUUUAUCCUCUGAUGAUAGCAGAGCUCGUGGCAAUAGCGGUAUGGAAAGACAGUGGAGUUUUUUAAAAUGGCAGGCAGAGUUGUGAUUUUUAAGGACUUGGAACUGAUUUUUCUUGAUCAGGACCUACCAGAAUGAACUUUCUUGCUGCUUCCCAUGUUGUCAUUUUCUGUUUGAAGAUACAGCCUUGUAGUUGGCUGUUGUUAGAAUAUAAUGCCUUGUGUCUUUAUUUUUUCUUUCUCAUCCCUGGUGGCUCAGAUGGCAAAGAAUCUGCCUGCAAUGCAGGAGGCCUGGAUCCGAUCCCUGGGUCAGGAAGAUCCCCUGGAAAAGGGACUGGCUACCCACUCCAGUAUUUUUGUCUGGAGAACCCCAUGGAGAGAGGAGCCUGGUGGGCCGUGGUCCACAGUGUCACAGAGAGUCAGAUGGACACGACUGAGCCAUUUUCACUUUCCUCAUUCCUCGAGAUAUAACUGUAGUCCUUUCGAAGUCACAACAGGGCAAAAACCAUGUAACUAAUGCUUAUAUUCGGAGAAGGCAAUGGCAAAUCACUCCAGUACUUUCGCCUGGCAAAUCCCGUGGACAGAGGAGCCUGGUAGGCUGCAGUCCAUGGGGUCGCUAGGAGUCGGACACAACUGAGAGACUUCACUUUCACUUUUCACUUUCAUGCAUUGGAGAAGGAAAUGGCAACCCACUCCAGUGUUCUUGCCUGGAGAAUCCCAGGGACGGGGGAGCCUGGUGGGCUGCUGUCUGUGGGGUCGCACACAACUGAAGUGACUUAGCAGCAGCAGCAUCCUCUGAGGGCUUCCCAGGUAGCGCUAGUGGUAAAGAACCCGCCUGCCAAUGCAGGAGAUGUAAGAAAUGCAGGUUCAAUCCCUGGGUGGCAAGAUCCCCUAGAGGAGGUCAUGGUAACCCACUCCAGUAUUCUUGCCUGGAGAAUUGUUAUGAACAGAGGAGCCAGGUGGGCUAUGGUCCAUAGGGUCGCAAAGAGUCGGACACGACUGAAACGACUUAGCGCACAUGCCUGCACAGCAUCCUCUGAGUUGUUUUAGGAAUAUAAAUUGCAAAAUGUCAUCUGUGAGGAUGGUGGUUGUCGUUUUAUCUCUUUUAGAGAAUUAAGAAAUGAAUGUAAUUGUUGGUCCAGGGGUCACUGCAUUUGCAAUAAACACUCUGGGACCCUUGCCCUCUCUUGAGUUUUCCAAAGAGUUACUACUUCCUGAGACCUGCCAACUUUUUCCUAGGUGCUUUAUUGAAAUCAUCUUUAAUAUUCACAGUGACCUCAAAAGGUAGACACCAAUACUAUCCUUCCUUGUUCUGCAGAUAAGAAACUGGGCCACCAAGGGGUUUGUAAUCCAUCCAAGCAGAGGGCUGCAGCCAGGCUCUGCAUCAGACUGUGGGCUCUUUCCUUGUGCUCUGGGCUUCAUGCUGCCAUCUUUGAAGGAACUGUGCAUGUGUCCAAACAAGGACUUAUCUGCAUCUUGUGCAGAGUUACCCCUCGUCUUGUUAAUAAAGUAAUGACCAGUCCCUGGGAGCAUCAUCUGAAUGUGGAGGGUGGAAGGGGUCGAUGACAUAUCAUUUCAGUUGAGUCACUCAGUCCUGUCUGACUCUUUGCAACCCCAUGGACUGCAGCUCGCCAGGCUUCCCUGUCCAUCACCAACUCCCGGAGCUUGCUCAAACUCAUGUCUGUCGAGUUGGUGUUGCCAUCCUGAACCCCAUGAACAGUAUGAAAAGGCAAAAAGAUGGCACAUCAGUGCCAUUUAAUUUAAUCCAGCUGUCUACUGUGCUCACGCCCAAGGCCCUUGUCACUUUCUUAGAUGAAUUUGUCUCGUCUGCAUCUCUGGAUAAUUCUCCACCAGAGGCUCAGUCUCUCUUCUGAGUAUACAGGCCAGCAGGGACCAGCUGUGUGGGACUCCUGCCACUGUGAGUCACUUUCACACCCUCCAUUCCUUACAGCUGGGGAAUCAAAGACUAAGCCCAUCCUUGCAAACCUGUAAUCUUGAUAUUUCCGUUCUUUCCUCUACAGCUCUGCCACACACACACACACACACACACACACACACACACACACACACACACACACACAGAGUCACACAUAUACAUGCACAUGCAGUUGGUCACACACACACCCAUGUGCAUACACACACACACAGACACACACACAUCUCUUUGCCUAAGUGCCUUUUAGCUUAAAAAAGAGGUAGACCCUAGUGCUAGUUAAGUCACAGUCUUUCAAAAAAUUUGCUUUGUAGGACUUUGCUGGUGGUCCAGUAGAUAAGAAUCCAGUUUGCAGUGCAGGGGAUGGGGGUUCACUCCUGGUUGAGGAACUAAGAUCCUGCCUGCCACAGGGCAACUAAGCCCACGUGGGCUGCAACUGCUGAGCCUGUUUGUCAUAACUACCGCACCCGUGUGUCACAGUAAAAGGUCUCAUGUGUUGCAAGGAAGGAUCCCACAUGUCGAAACUAAGAUCUGAUGCAGCCAAAUGAAUAAAUAAAUGUUUUGUUUUGUUAUUUUAAAAAGAUGCUUCACAAAGAAUUCCAUGCUGUGGACAUUGCCCAAGACAGAGAUGUGUCAAAUACAGCACCCUUUGUAUUGGCAAGGUGUGCUGGCUGACAUGGGCCUUGGAUACACAGUAAGAAAAUGAGUAGCACAAUUCUAGGUCUAUUUUGCUGAGCUCAGAGACAUAUGAGUACACAUAUACACAAAUAGGCAGACACACACAUACAUACAGUUACACCCAGGGGUUUCCCUUCAGAUUGCGCUAUGAAAGCCACUGGGACAUGACGCUCGUCUCACAAAGGCUAUUUAUAAACACUUGAUGAGACAAUGACAGCCUUGUCCUGUGUGGACAAGUGGGAACAUGAAAACGAAAUGAAGUUCCAUUGGCCAAUGAUCGCUGGGGACUUCAGGCCAAAUGAGAUGAUAAUAGAGGAUAGUCACCAAAAAGGCUGGAGGAUCCCAUGCUCGCUGUGCAGCCAUGUAAUAUUUCAGCGUGUCCUGGGAGGAGAAAUGCUCUCUGUUUUGAGUGCUAUUUCAGCCAGUAGCAUUGUUUGCAAUGCAUGCGUGCGUGCUAAGUUGCUUCAGUCGUGCCUGACUCUUUGUGAGCCUAUGGACUAUAGCCUACCAGGCUUCUCUGUCUAUGGGACUCUCCAGGCAAGAAUACUGAAGUCAGUUGCCUGGCCCUCCUCCAGGGGAUCUUCCUGACCCAGGAUUCAGACCCUUGUCUCCUACAUCUCCUGCAUUGGCAGGUGGGGUGGUUUUUUUUGUUUUUUUUUUUGUUUGUUUGUUUUUUUGUUGUUUUUUUUGUUUUGUUUUGUUUUUUAUCACUAAGCACUAUCUGUUUGCAAUAUGGAGCUGCAAAACCAUUUCAAAAACUCUCAUGUUUUCUCAGCUGCUGAUGUCUUGGAAGAGAUAGAAACCAUCACUGACUCACCUAUGAGUUCUAGGAAUUGGAAUUGGGUCCGAUAUUGAGGUGUUUGUAGAUGGUUAUACUGGAGGAGGCACAGAGCAGACUCACGUUUCUCUCCCAUCCCUUUUCAUGGAGGCAAAAAUGAUUACCCUUAUUUUCAAGAUCAGAACAACCCUGUACCAGAAAACAAGAUGAUAUUGAGAUGGUUCCAAAAAUAGGAGCUUAGGAAAUAGCAGCUGGAGUAAGAACUUGUGAAGAUCAUGCCCAUGGACUUCAGGUGUAGAAACUGUAUCGGUAGGCACGUUAACACUGACUGGUUCAUAAGAAUUCUGCUGCUAACUGAAGAGGAUGCAUUCAAAUUUUAACCAGAAGAGGGAUGACUCGAAUUCCAUAUUGAAAAGAACCUCUGGGAACCAGGGAGAGAAUCCUCUGUGCCAGGAAGUGGAAGAAGAGAGAUUAACGAUUCCACUUGGGUGACUAGCUUUGCUUGGAGCACUGCAUCAGUUCCCAAGGGUCCUCCUAGCUUCUGACCCUCUGAUUCUGCUCCUCUAUUGAUGCACAACAAGGUGGCUACAUUUCUUGCCUCUCCCAGCCCAAUCCCAUAUGCUCUUUCAAUUCAGAUCAUGUUUUCCUAACAAAGGCACAGGAUUGAGAAGCAAAACACAGCAGCAGUGAGUCUGAGAGGGCUUCUCAGCCUCAUCUUAGUUGCUUCCUGUUUGACAGCGAGAACUAAGGAAGUGAGAAAUCUGGGCUCCCUGCAUGAAUAUUCUGGAAGCUUAUUUCACUUGGCAAUGUGACACUCCGAGUGCACCUCUAACUUCUGCUGUUCCUCUUCAUUGUCAUUAUCUGAGAUUCACGGGAACAGUAUAUGGUUACAUAUCCCCAAGUUCUCUCCAGUGUACACUUUGCAAUUUAAAGAUACAGACAUAGUAAAUGUAUUAUGAUUACCUGUGAGCCCUUAGUGUAACUAAAGGGGAUCAAGCUGCUGUGAUUUAAAAUUUUAUUACAUAAAACUACCCUUGGUCCACUCCUUAAAGUGUCAAGGUCCUUAUGAUUUGGGACCAAGAGAUAAAACAUGAAGCUAAGUUUUUAUGUAAAGGUUUGAAAUAAUAUGGUGUGUAUAUUAAGACACAACUUGUCCACUCAGUCACAGUUCUUUCCCCUCAAACCAGACUGAAAGUAUCAGACUACAGAGUGCAACACAUACCACACACACACACACACACACAC
ensembl:lncRNA